GACGAACGCUGGCGGCGUGCUUAACACAUGCAAGUCGAACGGAAAGACCCUGCUUUUGUGGGGUGCUCGAGUGGCGAACGGGUGAGUAACACGUGAGUAACCUGCCCUUGACUUUGGGAUAACUUCAGGAAACUGGGGCUAAUACCGGAUAGGAGCUCCUGCUGCAUGGUGGGGGUUGGAAAGUUUCGGCGGUUGGGGAUGGACUCGCGGCUUAUCAGCUUGUUGGUGGGGUAGUGGCUUACCAAGGCUUUGACGGGUAGCCGGCCUGAGAGGGUGACCGGCCACAUUGGGACUGAGAUACGGCCCAGACUCCUACGGGAGGCAGCAGUGGGGAAUAUUGCACAAUGGGCGGAAGCCUGAUGCAGCAACGCCGCGUGCGGGAUGACGGCCCUCGGGUUGUAAACCGCUUUCGCCUGUGACGAAGCGUGAGUGACGGUAAUGGGUAAAGAAGCACCGGCUAACUACGUG
rnacentral:rRNA from 1 species